GAAUAACCUUUACAAGUAAAAUGAACAGAGGAACAUUGAGUCCAAUUGAGCGACCCUCUUUUAAUUGGCGUCCAAUGAUAUUAUAUUUCAUUUCAACUUUUCAAAUCAGGCUUCAAGAUAACAGAUAUGAAUCAUACGCCCCCAUAUGUGUAUCUCAUAAAUAAGUUAUCGUGUCGUGUUGAAUGCAAAAUCAUAACAAUAUCUUAUUGUGACUUAAUUGUACAAUAACUCACAACUGAUAGAAGAGACAAAACAUAGAACCACCACGAAAUCAAAAAGGUUCAUUUCAA
rnacentral:lncRNA from 1 species